UUCUAAAAAAGAAAAGGAUUGUCCCCACAACAGCCAAGAGGUGCACGCAUAUAGAAGUGUGAUCAAAACAAGAAAGAGAAAGGGGAAGAUGGAGAAAUUGAUAGAUUGGCUCCCCUGCAAACUGUGCGGGAAAACCUGGCCUCCAACCUGGGAGGCUGCCUGACACACACACACAUACACACACACACACACACACUCACUCACUCACUC